AUAUGAAUCUUUUUUCAAUUAGAGUCACAAUGAAUUUACAGAUUGAGUCUUCCUAUUCAAAAGCAUGAAAUCUUGUGUUUAAGUCUAAUUUUAUGUAACUUAGUAGUGUUUUAUGAUUUUGUUCACUAAGGUGCUUUGAAUUUAUAGUUUAUUUCUAGAUGUUUUAUCAUUUGGCUAUCAUUUUCAAUGGAAUGAUUUAUUCCACUUUAUUUUCUAUUUUAUCCCAUUGUAUAAGAAAGUAGUUGGUUUUUAUGUAUGAAUGUUAUAAUCAACCACAAAUUGUGAUUCCUACUUGUUUCUAAGGUAUACUUUUGACUUCUCCUUUCCAAUGUGUCUCUUAUUUCUUUCUUGUAUCUAGUUGAUUUGAGAUCAGUGUUGAGUCACAGUGAUUCAGGUGGCAUGCUUAUCUUGUUCGUGACAUCAGUGGGACGUUUUAAUGUCUCAGCGUUUAACUUGUAUGAAGACAUGUAUUUUCCUUGCCAUAAUAAAAAAGUAUCUGUGUGUUCUCAAACUAUUAAGACUCUCUGGGGAAAAUGUAGAUGUUAGAUUUUUGUCAAAGCCUUCUCAGUGUCCAGAGGGAUUAUCAGAAGGUCUUUUCCUUUGCUCUAGUAGUAUGUUUAAUUAUAUUAAUAGAAUACUUAAGACCAAAUCAUUAGUGUAUUCCUGAGAUGUUCUUUACUUAUUAGUAUCAUGACUUUGGUUAUCAAUAUUUAUAAUUAAGAUUCAUCAUUCUACAUCUUGCUUUUAUGUGUUUUUUGUCCAGAUUUAACUUUAUGCUGACUUAAAGGAAGAAAUAUUAUAAAACAAAAACCUCUAUAUUCUACAAUCAUCUAUUGGUUUUGGAUUAUUUUCUGCUUAAGUGUAGAAGAACUAGCUGGGGCUGUCUGGGCCUGCCGUGGUAUAUUUCUGGAUUUUGCUCAUCAGGCAAGUUAGGUCCUCGAGCCCUUCUAGAGUCCAUUUUAAUGACAUUUUUAAAAAUAAAAUUAAUUCCAUCCACUUUUCAACAUA
rnacentral:lncRNA from 1 species